AACGCACAUUGCGCUCUCUGGUAUUCCGGAGAGCAUGCCUGUUUGAGCGUCAUUAAAAUUUCUCAAUCAUUUACUGAAUGUUUAUUCGUUUGUGAGUGGUUGGUGUUGGACAGUUUGCUGCAGACGGUCGAGAGACUUGUGUGUGCUUGUCUGAAAGAUAUUGCAAAGAAAACGUAAUAAGAAAAUUACAAUCGUUUGCUCCUUUGCAGUGAAACCAUGUUUCUCUUCGGAGGGACAGCUUCUAAUUUUGACCUCAAAUCAGGUAGGACUACGCGCUGAACUUAA
rnacentral:misc_RNA from 1 species